AUUGAACGCUGGCGGCAGGCCUAACACAUGCAAGUCGAGCGGUAGAGAGGUGCUUGCACCUCUUGAGAGCGGCGGACGGGUGAGUAAUGCCUAGGAAUCUGCCUGGUAGUGGGGGAUAACGCUCGGAAACGGACGCUAAUACCGCAUACGUCCUACGGGAGAAAGCAGGGGACCUCGGGCCGUUGUCGCUAUCAGAUGAG
rnacentral:rRNA from 1 species